AAUUGUGCAUGCUACAAAUGAACACAAUAUGUGAGUUACAGUACAAAUUAAUAACCAUAUUUGAUUGGAGGAAGAAAGGGUAUUUUUGUGGUUAUCGUAGCUGUGAGAUUGGUUUAGAGCUCACUAGGAUUUACAGUUUUGUAAAUUAAUCAUGUAGAUUUCAUUUCAUUUCAUUUUGCAUUGUCUAUAUAGUUCCUUUGAAGUUCAAAUUUUUCUUUAAACCCAAACUUUUAUAUUUUUUACUUAUCAUAGCCCAAAAAGCACAGGUGGAACUAAUGAAAUUAAAGGUGCAACAUGUAAGUAUUUUAGUUUAAGACAUUCAAAAAUUAACACAAUUUAUCAACAAAUUGUUGAUAUAUGUCAAAGAUGUUUAUAUCUAUACAUGUAUGUAUACAGAGAUAUCUACUGAAGUUUGCAUGAUAACCAGCUAACCCUGGCUCGUCUCGCGGUACCACUUUGUACAUCAAGAGGUGAUAGUGAGGCACUGUAGUGUACGGUCUGCCCUCAGUCCAACAUGAGAGGAUGAAGAAGUAGCGCUGUCCAUAGGACAAGAAACCGAGACAUGUUCAGCAGCAAAGAAAAUAAUGAUAGAAAUAGAAGCAAAACAACAGUUAACAUUAGCAUUGCUUUCAACCACGGGAGACGGCCCUUGGAGAGUACAGGAAUUAAGUUUGAUGCUGAAUUCACAAUGUUUCCUCUAGGCUGGCGAGUAAACAACUGCUAAUUCUAACAUUGGCUAUGUAGCGAUAUCAAAUACUUACAUACAGCACCUUUAAUGAUGGCUCUUUUCCAGCAGUUAACAGUUAACGAUGUCAUUGCUUACACCUGUGGUUAACAACUCAAAAUGUCUUGUGAAAGUUGGAUUGUUAUUUCAAUCUGUUAAAUUCUCUGUAAAAAGCAUGUCUUCUGGUGAAUUUAAUCAAUUAACCAAUAAAUUAAUUAAUCAAUUAAAUAUUUUGAAUCUGUAGUAGCUAUUGGCCCAAAUAUAAAAUUAUAUUUCUUCUAAUUGUGUUCUUUUACAAAAGCAGGUGCUCUCCAUUGAUGGAGUGUGUCCAUAACUUGCUGUUGCAUUAUUUAGCUAUAUGUUGCUAGCCUAGCAAGUUUCACCCAUCCACUCGUUGCACACCUGCUUAAGUUAACCAACUGCAAAAGUGUCAGGUCUAACCCACAGGAGUUAUCUCCCAGCUGUGCUAAGCUGUCUGAAAAAUGCUAACAGUAAGAAAACAUCUUUUGUGCUUCAAAGGUCCUGCUUCAGAGAACUUUCUCUGAAAAGUGUUUGAAUAUAGGACUGAAAAACAGGGUGAGGUCAGGAAUGAAAAAAGUUACAUAUUUACUUUAAUUGAUUUGCCAUAUUUUAUAAUGAUACCUUGAUGACGCAUUUAAAAAAUAUGUUAGCAUUAAAUAUGGUAUUAGGGAUGUCACAAACGUCAAGGACGUAUGUAGGAGUGAAGCAUCUGAACUUAUAAAACAGCUUUGGUAGUAACGGGACUGUGCCGAGCGUUAGGAUUGGCUGGGGGUUAGAAGGAAGUGCAGGUAAACUAAAAGCACGCUCAAGUUGUUGAGACUGUUCACGUGUUGUCUGACCCGCAGCGUUUCUCAGUAAACGAGUAAACUGAAAACAAAGGCUCUGGUAUCUGACAACGAGAACCGAUUGGCCAUUUUCGGUACCAAGUCAAUGCUAUAAUUCUGACAAUGUGAUGUCUGCAGUAGGUACAGAAGGGUGAUAUAGAUGAUCGUACUCUCUAUUCUUCCAGGACUGAGGAGAGCAGUAUAAUAACCCCCACGAGCGGUGUAGUCUGACAUCAAACUCAAAAGAGAAGGAGAAGGCAGGCACAGUAAACAUUAACUACAACACGUGGGAUGGCAGCAGCAAGUGAUGCGUGAUUGCCAAUAAGCGCAUGGGGAAUAAGGGGAUGUGAGCACACUGGACCCAAACCUCAAAAGUCUGAAAAUCCCCAUGCCUAGAUACACCUAGCUAUUGUAGGGAGAGCGGGGAGGACCAACAAAGCACAAUAAAAAUUCUUAAAAUUUCCCAAACAUCAAUGAGAAAGCACAGACCCUGUGGUAACCUCAGUGAGGAAUGUCACACCAGUGUCAGACACCGCUUGAAGAGAUGGAACAGGACAGGACCAACGAUGCCGGUCGUCCCUCAGCAAAAUCUCAGACCUGCAGCUGUGGGAAAGGAAGUGGCUGUGCGUGUGUCUAUUUAAACACCGGUGUAACCUGGAACGGUGCGAGUCUGCGACUGUGCCCGGGAACGCUCCUGUUCUGCGGUGCAGACAUUUUUAUCGGUUUGAUACUAAUAGAUGACAGUACAACACACCAUCACUUGCACGUAUUUGAUUGGCAAACACAGCGCAUUGCAGGAUGGCGUUGCAUGAUGUUUUUUUUGCCAGAGCUUUCUGCUUUUUUCUGUCUGAACACGACCUUAUCCUUGUGACAGAGUAGCCACCUGUCCGGGGUUUUGUCCAAAGCCUGUUUGAAUAAA